GGGUGAUUGGCGAAAUUGGUAGACGCACUAGACUUAGGAUCUAGCGGGUACCCCCGUGAGAGUUCGAGUCUCUCAUCGCCCA
rnacentral:tRNA from 1 species